GGGUAAUGGCUCACCUAGGCGACGAUCCCUAGCUGGUCUGAGAGGAUGACCAGCCACACUGGAACUGAGACACGGUCCAGACUCCUACGGGAGGCAGCAGUGGGGAAUAUUGCACAAUGGGCGCAAGCCUGAUGCAGCCAUGCCGCGUGUGUGAAGAAGGCCUUCGGGUUGUAAAGCACUUUCAGCGAGGAGGAAGGGUGGUGUGUUAAUAGCGCACCACAUUGACGUUACUCGCAGAAGAAGCACCGGCUAACUCCGUGCCAGCAGCCGCGGUAAUACGGAGGGUGCAAGCGUUAAUCGGAAUUACUGGGCGUAAAGCGCACGCAGGCGGUUUGUUAAGUCAGAUGUGAAAUCCCCGCGCUUAACGUGGGAACUGCAUUUGAAACUGGCAAGCUAGAGUCUUGUAGAGGGGGGUAGAAUUCCAGGUGUAGCGGUGAAAUGCGUAGAGAUCUGGAGGAAUACCGGUGGCGAAGGCGGCCCCCUGGACAAAGACUGACGC
rnacentral:rRNA from 1 species